UGAACGAAAAAUAAAGAAAAUUAGCAUUCUACUCGCAACCCUCUUGUAGAUCAGGCUGUGGAUCCUGGUCCCCUUAAUCUGAAAUGGUUAAAUAAGAGAUGAGCUACAUUAUCUCAGUAAGAAUAUCACAUUAUAUCACCGACACAGAAAUAAAGAUUAGUAGAAAUCAUGAAAAAAACAAAUGAAACUCUUAUUUUAAGUAAAUUCAUU
rnacentral:lncRNA from 1 species